AUGGAGGAGGGAGAGAGAAGACUGGAGGACCUGAAAGGGUUGGUGGUACCAAGAGGAGAGCAACAAUACCAAUGAAUCAGAGCUCCCCAGGAUCUAAACCACCAGCCUGGG